GAUGAACGCUGGCGGCGUGCUUAACACACGCAAGUGGAACGGUGAAGGCGGCGCUUGCUCUGCUGGCUCAGUGGCGAACGGGUGAGUAACACGUGAGCAAUCUGCCCCUGACUCUGAGUUAAGCGCUGGAAACGGCGUCUAACACUGGCUACGAGCUGCGAAGGCAUCUUCAGCAGCUGGUAAGAAUCUCGGUCAGGGAUGAGCUCGCGGCCUAUCAGCUUGUUGGUGAGGUAAUGCCUCACCAAGGCGUCGCGGGGUAGCCGGCAUGAGAGGGUGACCGGCCACACUGGGACUGAUACACGGCCCAGACGCCGACGGGAAGCAGCAGUGGGGAAUGUUGCACAAUGGGCGAAAGCCUGAUGCAGCAACGCCGCGUGAGGGACGACGGCCUUCGGGUUGUAAACCUCUUUGAGCAGGGAAGAAGCGAAAGUGACGGUGCCUGCAUGAAAAGCGCCGGCUAACUACGUG
rnacentral:rRNA from 1 species